UGAGGAAUCUUCCACAAUGGGCGAAAGCCUGAUGGAGCGACACCGCGUGAAGGAUGAAGCCUUUGUUGGUGUAAACUUCUUUUCUCUUGGAAGAUAAUGACGGUACAAGAGGAAUAAGGGGCGGCAAACUUCGUGCCAGCAGCCGCGGUAAUACGAAGGCCCCAAGCGUUAUCCGGAAUUACUGGGCGUAAAGCGUUUGUAGGUGGUUUGAAAAGUUUCGUGUGAAAGGUCAGGGCUCAACCCUAACUUGCGCGGAAAACUAUCAGACUCGAGUACGGGAGAGGUAAGCAGAACUGUAUGAGUAGGGGUGCAAUCCGUUGAUACAUACAAGAAUACCAAAAGCGAAGGCAGCUUACUGGAACGUUACUGACACUGAGAAACGAAAGCGUGGGGAGCGAAA
rnacentral:rRNA from 1 species